rnacentral:lncRNA from 1 species
AAGUCUGAAACUUUCGCUACCCAGUUCUCAUCUACAAGGAUGUUAGUUGUUUUUACGUCUCUGUGUAUAAUCGUGUACUUUGCUCCUGUGUGAAGGUAAUGUAGUCCUCUUGCAGCUCCAAUAGCGAUCUCUAGCCUUCGUUUCCAAGUUAAUUGUGGUUUCUUUGUGUUGUAUAGAUGUUCACGGAGUGUUCCAAAAGCCAUGUAAUCGUAUAUGAGACACAUUUCGCCUCCGUCGUCGCAGUAUCCUAUCAAGGAGACCAAGUGUUUGUGUCUUAAUCU